rnacentral:rRNA from 1 species
CUAGCGAAUUUUGAACUUCUGCGAUAUACUAACCGCGCGAAGGUAGCAUAAUCACUUGUUCUUUAAAUGGGGACUCGUAACAACGGUUUCACGAGGGUUUCACUGUCUCCUCUUCUUGAUCCUAGAGAUGGAUCUUCCCGAGAAGAAGCGGGAAUAUUUUUAUAAUAGGAGUAUACCCCAUGGAGCUUUAAACCGAAUAACAACUCACCUACUUAUCCCACAAUAAAUUUAAGCCCUGUGAUAAGGUUUUUGGGGGGGGUGACCGCGGAGUAAAGGACAUCCUCCACGACGGAAAGAACAUAAUCUUUAUUUAACAACUACACUCCUAUAAAUUAGUAUACCAACGUUUACUGACCCAACAAUCGAUCAACGGACCAAGUCUCCCUGGGGAUAACAGCCCCUUCUACUCCACGAUCUCAUAUCCACAAGUAGGCUUACGACCCCGAUGUCGGAUCAGGGUAUCCCGGUGGAUCCACCGCUACCGA